AUUGAACGCUGGCGGCAGGCCUAACACAUGCAAGUCGAACGAGUGGCGGACGGGUUAUUAAUGUCUGGGAAACUGCCUGAUGUAGGGGGAUAACUACUGUAAACGGUAGCUAAUACCGCAUACCAUCUGAUGUGCCCAUAUGGGCUUAGCUAGUGGGUGGGGUAACGGCUCACCUAGGCGACGAUCCAUAGCUGGUCUGAGAGGAUGACCAGAAACACUGGAACUGAGACACGGUCCAGACUCCUACGGGAGGCAGCAGUGGGGAAUAUUGCACAAUGGGCGCAAGCCUGAUGCAGCCAUGCCGCGUGUAUGAAGAAGGCCUUCGGGUUGUAAAGUACUUUCAGCGGGGAGGCGUUACCCGCAGAAGAAGCACCGGCUAACUCCGUGCCAGCAGCAGCGGUAAUAA
rnacentral:rRNA from 1 species